UUAAGCGACUAAGCGUACACGGUGGAUGCCCUGGCAGUCAGAGGCGAUGAAGGACGUGCUAAUCUGCGAUAAGCGUCGGUAAGGUGAUAUGAACCGUUAUAACCGGCGAUUUCCGAAUGGGGAAACCCAGUGUGUUUCGACACACUAUCAUUAACUGAAUCCAUAGGUUAAUGAGGCGAACCGGGGGAACUGAAACAUCUAAGUACCCCGAGGAAAAGAAAUCAACCGAGAUUCCCCCAGUAGCGGCGAGCGAACGGGGAGCAGCCCAGAGCCUGAAUCAGUGUGUGUGUUAGUGGAAGCGUCUGGAAAGGCGCGCGAUACAGGGUGACAGCCCCGUACACAAAAAUGCACAUGCUGUGAGCUCGAUGAGUAGGGCGGGACACGUGGUAUCCUGUCUGAAUAUGGGGGGACCAUCCUCCAAGGCUAAAUACUCCUGACUGACCGAUAGUGAACCAGUACCGUGAGGGAAAGGCGAAAAGAACCCCGGCGAGGGGAGUGAAAAAGAACCUGAAACCGUGUACGUACAAGCAGUGGGAGCACGCUUAGGCGUGUGACUGCGUACCUUUUGUAUAAUGGGUCAGCGACUUAUAUUCUGUAGCAAGGUUAACCGAAUAGGGGAGCCGAAGGGAAACCGAGUCUUAACUGGGCGUUAAGUUGCAGGGUAUAGACCCGAAACCCGGUGAUCUAGCCAUGGGCAGGUUGAAGGUUGGGUAACACUAACUGGAGGACCGAACCGACUAAUGUUGAAAAAUUAGCGGAUGACUUGUGGCUGGGGGUGAAAGGCCAAUCAAACCGGGAGAUAGCUGGUUCUCCCCGAAAGCUAUUUAGGUAGCGCCUCGUGAAUUCAUCUCCGGGGGUAGAGCACUGUUUCGGCAAGGGGGUCAUCCCGACUUACCAACCCGAUGCAAACUGCGAAUACCGGAGAAUGUUAUCACGGGAGACACACGGCGGGUGCUAACGUCCGUCGUGAAGAGGGAAACAACCCAGACCGCCAGCUAAGGUCCCAAAGUCAUGGUUAAGUGGGAAACGAUGUGGGAAGGCCCAGACAGCCAGGAUGUUGGCUUAGAAGCAGCCAUCAUUUAAAGAAAGCGUAAUAGCUCACUGGUCGAGUCGGCCUGCGCGGAAGAUGUAACGGGGCUAAACCAUGCACCGAAGCUGCGGCAGCGACGCUUAUGCGUUGUUGGGUAGGGGAGCGUUCUGUAAGCCUGCGAAGGUGUGCUGUGAGGCAUGCUGGAGGUAUCAGAAGUGCGAAUGCUGACAUAAGUAACGAUAAAGCGGGUGAAAAGCCCGCUCGCCGGAAGACCAAGGGUUCCUGUCCAACGUUAAUCGGGGCAGGGUGAGUCGACCCCUAAGGCGAGGCCGAAAGGCGUAGUCGAUGGGAAACAGGUUAAUAUUCCUGUACUUGGUGUUACUGCGAAGGGGGGACGGAGAAGGCUAUGUUGGCCGGGCGACGGUUGUCCCGGUUUAAGCGUGUAGGCUGGUUUUCCAGGCAAAUCCGGAAAAUCAAGGCUGAGGCGUGAUGACGAGGCACUACGGUGCUGAAGCAACAAAUGCCCUGCUUCCAGGAAAAGCCUCUAAGCAUCAGGUAACAUCAAAUCGUACCCCAAACCGACACAGGUGGUCAGGUAGAGAAUACCAAGGCGCUUGAGAGAACUCGGGUGAAGGAACUAGGCAAAAUGGUGCCGUAACUUCGGGAGAAGGCACGCUGAUAUGUAGGUGAGGUCCCUCGCGGAUGGAGCUGAAAUCAGUCGAAGAUACCAGCUGGCUGCAACUGUUUAUUAAAAACACAGCACUGUGCAAACACGAAAGUGGACGUAUACGGUGUGACGCCUGCCCGGUGCCGGAAGGUUAAUUGAUGGGGUUAGCCGCAAGGCGAAGCUCUUGAUCGAAGCCCCGGUAAACGGCGGCCGUAACUAUAACGGUCCUAAGGUAGCGAAAUUCCUUGUCGGGUAAGUUCCGACCUGCACGAAUGGCGUAAUGAUGGCCAGGCUGUCUCCACCCGAGACUCAGUGAAAUUGAACUCGCUGUGAAGAUGCAGUGUACCCGCGGCAAGACGGAAAGACCCCGUGAACCUUUACUAUAGCUUGACACUGAACAUUGAGCCUUGAUGUGUAGGAUAGGUGGGAGGCUUGGAAGUGUGGACGCCAGUCUGCAUGGAGCCGACCUUGAAAUACCACCCUUUAAUGUUUGAUGUUCUAACGUUGACCCGUAAUCCGGGUUGCGGACAGUGUCUGGUGGGUAGUUUGACUGGGGCGGUCUCCUCCUAAAGAGUAACGGAGGAGCACGAAGGUUGGCUAAUCCUGGUCGGACAUCAGGAGGUUAGUGCAAUGGCAUAAGCCAGCUUGACUGCGAGCGUGACGGCGCGAGCAGGUGCGAAAGCAGGUCAUAGUGAUCCGGUGGUUCUGAAUGGAAGGGCCAUCGCUCAACGGAUAAAAGGUACUCCGGGGAUAACAGGCUGAUACCGCCCAAGAGUUCAUAUCGACGGCGGUGUUUGGCACCUCGAUGUCGGCUCAUCACAUCCUGGGGCUGAAGUAGGUCCCAAGGGUAUGGCUGUUCGCCAUUUAAAGUGGUACGCGAGCUGGGUUUAGAACGUCGUGAGACAGUUCGGUCCCUAUCUGCCGUGGGCGCUGGAGAACUGAGGGGGGCUGCUCCUAGUACGAGAGGACCGGAGUGGACGCAUCACUGGUGUUCGGGUUGUCAUGCCAAUGGCACUGCCCGGUAGCUAAAUGCGGAAGAGAUAAGUGCUGAAAGCAUCUAAGCACGAAACUUGCCCCGAGAUGAGUUCUCCCUGACUCCUUGAGAGUCCUGAAGGAACGUUGAAGACGACGACGUUGAUAGGCCGGGUGUGUAAGCGCAGCGAUGCGUUGAGCUAACCGGUACUAAUGAACCGUGAGGCUUAACCUU
rnacentral:rRNA from 1 species